AGAGAAGAACAAAACACACAAAAAAAAACAAAAAACAUGGAAGUAUCUGGCUGUGUAACAUCAGCAGAUUGUUUUGAACUUGCUAAGCUAGGCAGUCUUGUGGUUAGUUUUGUUACGUUUAACAAAAAUUAUGUUAAAUAUAUGGCAUUGCAUUUCUGAGAAGGUCUAACAUGUAUACUUAUGCCCGAAUUCUAACUGCGUAAAUUCUUGUUUUAGUUGAGAGUAUUUUUAAAUACUUUAAAGUGAGGCAGGUUAAACAAUACAUUUUGUUGUGAAAACAUGAGAAUAUCUGGCUUUAUAACAUCAAUAGAUUAUUUUAAUCUUGCUAAGCGAAACAGGCUUAUGAUUAAUUCAAAUGUGUUGAAGGUUAUGUCAAAUACAUGGCAUUGCGAUUCUGAGAGGGUCAAUCUGUUAUACCUAUGCCAUAAUUAUAACUGCUUAUAUUCUUUCUGUUGUUAAGAGUCAAGAUAUGUAUGGCAGGUAAAAAACGAAGAAAAAGAAAGAAAAAAAGAAAAAAAGAGAAAAAAAAAAACUAUAAACAUACUGCCUAAGGUCACCCACGUUGUGUGUCAUACGUGGCUAUCGGUAAAGUAUUGCAGUAGGUUUACAGGCUAUAUAAUUACUACAUGCAAAUUGUAGAUUUGGGUGCUAAUAUACACAUGCUUGAGUACUCUGGUCUUGGAAGCCUCAAUGGGUACAAGAGAGGGUGACCAGAGGCAGGCUGGCCAAACAAAUACACAUUGGUACAUAUAUAUUAGACGUGUUCAGGCUAUAUAUUUAUGUGAGGUCUAAUGCUGGUUGCCCUUAAAAGCGGUCUAGACAUAAGAGCAAGUUGAGCAUGUCUAGUGGGUCUCGGGAUUAAAAGCAGAAAAGAAAUAAACUAAAAAUAAAGAUAAAAUUAUCCUUUUUCUUCCCUUUUCUUCACCUUCCUUUUCCCUUUUCUAAGUAAUUGUAAAAGUAAAAAUAGUCUCCGUAUUUCUGGCCUGAGUCUGUCCACCUAGCCCAGUUGGGGCAGGGACACAGGGUUGUCCGGGAGCGGGGGGUCUUCAUUGGAAUUGGGGGGCUUUGGUCUGUUUUAUCAGGUCUCCGUAGUCCUGUCCGGUUGUGCCAGUCCUGGUUCGAGGUAGCUCGGCAGCUAGUGUCAGUGGGUCGCAAGUUGUGUACUAUGUCCUUACCGAAGCCAGGCGGCGGAUCCGAGACUCUGACAGGUGAGUAUCUCUGUGCCUCUAUGUCGUGAUUGUUGAAUAUGUGUCCGGCGUAGAGCUUUGGGAGAUGAAUGGGGCGAUCCGAUCUGGGUCCCGGGUAUGGGUGCAGUUAGGGGAGCUGUUGUUAUCCUUGUUGGCCAGUCUUGCUGGGGACAGCAAUUCUUGAGGUAGGUCCAAGAGCCGAAGGAAGGCCGGGGCGUCCCGAAUGUCCUGAAUGUUAUGCAAGUUCGAUCCUCGCUGGACUGUCAAUGCUCUGGGGGACCGCCAGCGGUAAUCAAUCUUGCAGGCACGAAGAAUUAAGGUGAGUGGCCGUAGCGACCUACGCCAGGCCAGGGUGCCGCUGGACAGGUCUGUGUAGAGUGAGAGGUCCAUGUUUUCGAAGCGGAAGGGGGUCCUGCCUCGGAGAGCAGACAGGAUCGCCACCUUAUGUCCGCUAUUGCGGAGGGUCAGGAUGACAUCUCUCGUGGCCGUGGGUGGUGCGUUUGUUGGUUUAGGGACUCUGAAGACCCUUUCUGGGGUGAUUGUUGAUUUCUGUCGUCGUGGCAGUAUUUCUAGUAACAUCUGCUCCAUUAGUUUAGGCAGUUCGGCCUCUGUAAUGUCCUCACGGACUCCCCUGAUUUUAAUGUUGGAAGCCCACCUGGCGUCCUCGAGCGCCACAAGGCGAUGUUCGUAUUGCUGGGUCUGCUGUUCCAGGGCUUGUACGGUGUGUUGUACUGCAGCAACCUCCUGGGCCUGGGAUUGUGAGGAGCCCUCCAGUUUGGGCCUUUCAAGUCUGCGCGGAGCGCUGUGACAUCCUCGUGGAAGCUGCGUUUCAGGUCCGUCAGUAAUGCCUUCAGGACCAAUAUGGUGAUCGGCUCUGUGUCUGACCCUUUGCCGCCUUGUUGUGCCUUUUGUGGUGGGUUAGGAGGCUGUGAGAGUCCCCCCUCUUCCUCAUCGGAUAUGUCCUCAGAGAAAUCCGAGCACCCACCGUGCUGAGCCGCCAUGUUUGUUUCGGAGGCUCCACGUGCUUGCCUCCACAUCUCCCCUAUUGUAAGUCCCGAGGUGGCUUGUGUGGUAUCGUUUUCUUCCCCUUUCUCCCCAUUAGGUCUUGGGGUGUUUGCCUGUCUAUUGGGAUGUUAAGGGGGGGUAUUUCAUGCGUUUUUCUCUGUUUAAGACUCAGAGCUCCCUUAGCUUGCGUCCGUUCGCUUCAGUGUUCAAACUUGUUCCCUUCUUAAGGGUAACAAUCUACACUCUCUCCCACUACUACUGAUAGUAUGGGUCUAGUUUUGUUCUAUUGGUGGAUACUAUUCACUAGGGGUUACCCCCCAUUCAUAAGUUUCAUAUAUACCAAUUUUCAAC